AACUUUUAACAACGGAUCACUUGGCUCUCCUAUCGAUGAAGAACGCAGCGAAAUGCGAUAAGUAAUGUGAAUAGCAGAAUUCAGUGAAUCAUCGAAUCUUUGAACGCACCUUGCGCCCUUUGGUAUUCCGAAGGGCAUGCCUGUUUGAGUGUCAUUAAAUUAUCAACCUUGCUCGCUUUUACCGGCUUGAGUUAGGCUUGGAUGUGAGGGCUUGCUGGCUUCCUUCAGUGGAUGGUCUGCUCCCUUUAAAUGCAUUAGUGGGAUCUCUUGUGGACCGUCACUUGGUGUGAUAAUUAUCUAUGCCACUUGACCUUGAAGCAAACCUUAUGGGAACCCGCUCAUAACCGUCUUCGGACAACUUUUGACAUUUUGACCUCAAAUCAGGUAGGACUACCCGCUGAACUUAAGCAUAUCAAUAAGCGGAGGCU
rnacentral:misc_RNA from 1 species